AGCUCCAAUAGCGUAUAUUAAAGUUGUUGCGGUUAAAAAGCUCGUAGUUGGAUUUCUGCUGAGAACGGUCGGUCCACUCUUGGAGUGUGUAUCUGAUUCGGUCUUGGCAUCCUCUCGGAAACGGCUGCGCUUCAUUGCGUGGUCGGUGUCCGAGACUUUUACUUUGAGGAAAUUAGAGUGUUCACGGCAGCUUCCGCCUU
rnacentral:rRNA from 1 species